rnacentral:rRNA from 1 species
UCAGGGAUGAACGCUGGCGGCGUGCCUAAUACAUAGCAAGUCGAACGCAUUACUUCGGUAGUGAGUGGCGAACGGGUGAGUAACACGUAGGUAACUUACCUCUAAGACGAGGAUAACGACUGGAAACGGUCGCUAAAACUGGAUAGGAUCAUUUGAGGCAUCUCGAAUGAUUUAAGGGGCUUUCAAGCCACACUUAGAGAAAGGCCUGCGGCGCAUUAGCUAGUUGGUGGGGUAGAGGCCUACCAAGGCGAUGAUGCGUAGCCGGACUGAGAGGUCAACGGCCACAUUGGGACUGAGACACGGCCCAAACUCCUACGGGAGGCAGCAGUAGGGAAUCUUCCGCAAUGGACGAAAGUCUGACGGAGCAACGCCGCGUGAGUGAAGAAAAGGUUUUUCGGAUCGUAAAACUCUGUUGUCAGAGAAGAACAAGUUGGAGAGUAACUGCUCCAGCCUUGACGGUAUCUGACCAGAAAGCCACGGCUAACUACGUGCCAGCCGCCGC